rnacentral:lncRNA from 1 species
GAACAAUUAUGGAACAAUAUAUCGAGACAGGAAAAAUCGCUUAAAACUUAGUUCGCUAGACUAUCCGCCUAGGUUUUACAUUCCCUAAAGUUCUAUGGCAGCCUCAAAGUAAUUUCCUACGAAAAUUCCAAGUCUGAUUUCAAAAAUUUCAAGUCGGAAAUACCUUAGUUCUCUCGAAGAUGCAGUUUUGUCCCUUCUCAGUUUUGCGUGCUCAUUUCCGUUUCCUAUUCUCGUGUAUGUUCGCCAUUUCCGAUAUUGGUGUUUAUCCUUUGAAACUUGACAUUUAUCUUCCGAACUUGACUGUUAUCUUCUCCUUAGAUAAGACGUCGAUUUUUGUAAAAAGGUUCAACGUAAUCGUAUAGUUAAGGCGGCUAAGGUGUUAAGUUAACCGUUGCCGUUUUAUACGAUUAAUCUGAAUCCAUGCGAGAAAAUAGGUCUUUGCGGUUUUUUUUU